GCCCGUAUAACGUUAAUGAUUACUAGAUGGUGUUUCCAAAGAGUCGUGUUGCUUGAUAGUGCAGCACUAAGUGGGUGGUAAACUCCAUCUAAAACUAAAUAUAACCAUGAGACCGAUAGUAAAGAAGUACCGUGAGGGAAAGUUGAAAAGAACGCUGAAUAGAGAGUUAAAUAGUACGUGAAACUGCUUAGAGGUUAAGCCCGAUGAACCUGAAUAUCCAUUAUGGAAAAUUCAUCAUUAGAGUUUUAAUAUUUUAAUAAUAUUAUAAUAAUAGUGUGCAUUUUUUCCAUAUAAGGACAUUGUAAUCUAUUAACAUAAACCAAAUUUAUCAUAAAAUAUGACUUAUAGUUUAUUUAAAUUAUUUUGCUUGCAUUUUAACAUAGAAUAAAUGUCAUUAAUUUGAUAAAGUGUUGAUAGAUUUAUAUGAAUACAGUGCGUUAAUUUUUCGGAAUUAUAUAAUAUGAUUAUCAUUGAUUUUCUGUGUUUAUUAUAUGCACUUGUAUGAUUAACAAUGCGGGACCCGUCUUGAAACACGGACCAAGGAGUCUAACAUAUGUGCAAGUUAUUGGGAUAUAAACCUAAUAGCAUAAUUAACUUGACUAAUAAUGGGAUUAGUUUUUUAACUAUUUAUAGAUAAUUAACACAAUCCCGGGGCGUUCUAUAUAGUUAUGUAUAAUGAUAUUUAUAUUAUUUAUACCUCUAACUGGAACGUACCUUGAGCAUAUAUGCUGUGACCCGAAAGAUGGUGAACUAUACUUGAUCAGGUUGAAGUCAGGGGAAACCCUGAUGGAAGACCGAAACAGUUCUGACGUGCAAAUCGAUUGUCAGAAUUGAGUAUAGGGGCGAAAGACCAAUCGAACCAUCUAGUAGUUGGUUCCUUCCGAAGUUUCCCUCAGGAUAGCUGGUGCAUUUAAAUGAUAUAUGUGGGAUGUGCAUUUGCGAAGUGUAUCAAUCCCACUGUACACGAGAGACGAGACGACGAUCAAGAGAGAACGUGAGCGUGUGAGAAAAGACGAUCAAGAGGGAUGACAAACGAAUGAGAGAUGACGACGGGAGAGUUGGUUUUUGCGCGUCAAACAAGACGGACGUGUUUUGAGGUCUUGCGUCAUAGUCGGAUGCAAGGUCAAGUCGAGUACCAUAGACGGGUGCUAAAAGUCGUGUGUCAAAGUCGGACACUUAAAGUCGAGCGCCAAAGUCGGGCGCGAAAAGUCGAAGCGUCGUAGACGGACGCCAAAGUUGAGCCGAGCCAAACGUCGAUUGUCAUUUCACAUAGUGUAAUCUCUAUAAAGUCGUAUUUUCAUGUAAACCCCCUAGACUAUAAUUAUAUCGUUAAAUAAAACCCCACAUAUUUUGGGUGCUCGACCGGGAUAGAU
rnacentral:ncRNA from 1 species